rnacentral:rRNA from 1 species
CCCUUAGAUGUUCUGGGCCGCACGCGCGCUACACUGGUACGUUCAACAAGUUUACAACCUUGAUCGAUAGGUCUGGGUAAUCUUUUUAAUGCGUACCGUGCUAGGGAUAGAUUAUUGCAAUUAUUAAUCUUGAACGAGGAAUUCCUAGUAAACGCAAGUCAUCAGCUUGCAUUGAUUACGUCCCUGCCCUUUGUACACACCGCCCGUCGCACCUACUGAUUGAAUGACUCGGUGAAAAAUUGGGACUGUGAGAACAAUCGAUUCAGUUCGAAUGUACUCGUGGAAACUUUUUUUAACCUCGCCAUUUAGAAGAAGGUGAANUCGUANCA